GACGAACGCUGGCGGCGUGCUUAACACAUGCAAGUCGAACGCUGAAGCUUGGUGCUUGCACUGGGUGGAUGAGUGGCGAACGGGUGAGUAAUACGUGAGUAACCUGCCCUUGACUCUGGGAUAAGCCUGGGAAACUGGGUCUAAUACUGGAUAUGACAUGCCACUGCAUGGUGGUGUGUGGAAAGGGUUUUACUGGUUUUGGAUGGGCUCACGGCCUAUCAGCUUGUUGGUGGGGUAAUGGCCUACCAAGGCGACGACGGGUAGCCGGCCUGAGAGGGUGACCGGCCACACUGGGACUGAGACACGGCCCAGACCCCUACGGGAGGCAGCAGUGGGGAAUAUUGCACAAUGGGCGGAAGCCUGAUGCAGCGACGCCGCGUGAGGGAUGACGGCCUUCGGGUUGUAAACCUCUUUCAGCACGGAAGAAGCGAGAGUGACGGUACGUGCAGAAGAAGCGCCGGCUAACUACGUG
rnacentral:rRNA from 1 species